GGGGGGUCCCGGGCGCGGCAUUGUUCCCGGCCCGCGGCGGGGGUGGAAUUCCGCCGGGCAGUCCGGGGGGUGGGGGGAAGGGAAGAGAGGGAAAUUCGGCGUCCCGAACGGGCGCCCAGUCGGGGCUUCUGCCAGCAGAAUCCCCCGCUCCCCGCCCCUUUUCUUUCUUUACCUCUACGGAGGCUCUGGCUGCGGGAGCAUUAUGUGCACUUGAAAACUUAGGGGGACAAACCAUGAACCUGACAUGAAGCUCUCGCUUCAUCUUUUUUCCUCUUUCUUAGAGUCUUCCGGGGCAGUCGGGCAUAAGAUGAUGGGUAUUGGCAGUAAUGCUUGUGUGUUUCUGUGGGUCAACACUUUUAUCUAAAUGUGGCUGAAGAAAAUCCCGGAGAAAGGUGUGUGUGUGUAUCGUAAAUGCAAAUGAAACCAUUUCGGAUGCUCUGACCUCUCAAAGAAGAAUGGAUUUGGUGGGGAAUUAGUCUAAGGCAGUUUACACUUCAGAGUCUCAUACGAUUGAAAGCACAUUCGGAAUGGCUGUUUCACAGCGGUUAAUAUACUGUACAUCGUCCAUCUGUCAGGGUGGGAUUAUUAAAAAAAGCGUUCACCUGCGUCAGCAUCGCAGGUGAAACGGGGUGGGGGCCGAAUGGAGAGUGCUGGAGAGGUGACUGAAGUGCUUACUCCUGGAGUUAAAGGAUUUCGGCGCUCUGUUCCUGCUGGGAAGUAGAGGGAAGUCACCUAGAGAGAUCCGAUUCCCACGGCUGAUCGAUAAUUCACUAGCAUUUCACUUGCUCAGCAUUAGAGUUCAGAGCAGGGUCAUUUCCUACACAAAAAAGCCCAGCUCAGCCAGCUGAUUUGGUUUCCAGGAGAAAUAUUUAAAAAGCGUUACAUUUAACAGGGACUUUCGAUGGAUCUCCUUCUUUUCAAAACACCCAAGGAACCUUUCAUAUUGGCAUUUUUAUUACUAAUUUUUCAUUUUCUCUUUGGGCGAGGUUUAGGGGAGUUGAGUAGCAGUUCUGCUGUAUUAACAAGUUCUCUUUGUAAAAAGCAUGUUACUGACAGCAGGAAAACAUUUUAACCAUUUAUGUUUGGGUGCCAAGAUGCUUUGCAAAAUAACUUGCCAGGCUCUUAUUGUAGAAUUUUCUGAAUUUUUUAUGUUACUCCAAUAAUGUAGUAUGAACAGACCAGAGCCAGGAAAGAUAAAAUGCCAGAUUAUAAAUUAGUGGUCCACGUGGACCAUUCCGGGAGGGGGGAAUGCAUAAAUGCAAGAUAAUGAUUUUUAAAAAUGGGUGGCCCUUAGCCCUGUUAGUAAAAUCAAACAACUUCUGAAAAUUGAGUUAGCCAGAUGGUUCUCAUUCACUAUUUGGAAGUGCUAAGGACUGAUUUGUGUUUCUGAGGACCUUGGAUUCUGUAAUGGUAAACAUUUUGCUCCAGGAUUGAAUUGGUUGGCGUUUGACAUUUGAUAGCAAUAUUUGAAUUUACUAUUAUUUAACUUUGUAGAUAAAUGACUGCUUUUUCUUUCAAUCUCAGUAGGAAACUCAUUUACAUAAAAAAACUCAUGAAACUUAGAGGGUCUCAUUCAGUAUCAAAAAUUCAUUUGAUAAUAAAAUUGACUUAUUAAAGAUUUUUUCAUUGUAAAACUAAUAUGGGAAAUGCAGUAAAAAUCACUUAAUCUUUAUACAGAUUAUAUCCUCUUGUUGUAUUAGACAUUUAUUAAAAAGAUAAUCACUCCAUAAAUCCACUUUAAGGUUUGAUGCUUGCUUUAAAUUUGUCAGGUUAUAUGAGCAUCUUUAUAUCUAUAAUAUACAUCAUUGAUCAUAGACUAAUUUUAUGGGAGGCAAUAUAGUGCAGUGGGUAUGAGCAUGGACUUUGAUGUCAGAUUGAUGUAGAUUCAGAUCCUUUCUCCAUCACAUAUUGCAAAAGGGACCUAACCUUUCAAAGUCUGUUUUCUCAUCUAAAAAAUAAGGUUUCAUUAAGAAUUAAAUGAGAUAACAUAUGUAACCAGUGCUGGCCUAAGUAAAUGUUUUUUGUUGGUGGUGGUGAAGUUCAAGAAAUGUACACUCAGAAUGAUGAAGUUGACUUUUAUAUGAAGUGCUCUUAAACCAGGGUGAAAGCAAAUUAUUCCUUUGAAAGAAUUCAGGAAUUUGUUUCAGUGGUCUUCUAUUUCUGCAGAGGGGUAACUUUGCCUGCUUUGUUGAAACUGGUGUUAUGUUGCCACCUGCUUGUGGGUAACAGGAAGAAAUAAAAAUGAAAUUAGUUCCUGAUACCCUUCUUUUGGGAGGGGGAUGGGUAAUGCCAUGUGUUGCUGGUAUUAACUUCUGUUGGGAUGUUUGCCAGCAUGUAACAUUAACAUUGUCACUGCAUGAAAGUUUACAUUUUAAUACCUGAAACCACAAAGCAGAGUGGCUUAAGAUUGACAGUAACUUCUCCUUUUAGUAAUGUAUUCAGUUUGUGUUUGAUUUGCAGCAUCUUAAGCAGAUUUUUUUACAAUUUAAAAAAUGUGAAAAACAUAUAGUAAACUAUUUUGAGUUAAUAUUGGUAACAGCUAUGAAGGCUUCCUGAAGCAAGCAGAGUGCUUGAGUUAACUUUUAGUUCGUAAAGCUUUGAUUAGUAGACCCUGUAGUCUAUGUCAUUAAGUCAUUUAUAAUUUUUAGGUGGUUGUAAAAACUUCUGUGGAAAUACUAGAAUAUAGUUAAUCACUAUGUGAAUAUUGAUCUUUUGUUCUAGAAUACUCUGGUAGAUUUGAAUAUAAUUAAAAAUAUUAAGCAUAUAAAAAAGUGGUGGCCAGAAUAAUAUAAGAAGCCUUUCUCCUUUUAUCAUGUUUCAGUGAUUACGAACUCAAGGUCACCCACUUUCCCCCUUCUCUUUAUUUUGAAGUGGAGCAAAUCCUAGAAUUAUAUCACUUCAUCUGUAAAUAUUUCAAUAUUUAUCUCUAAAACAGAAGUGUCUUUAAAAAAUAAAACCACAAUUAACACUGUAGUUUUUAAAAAGUAAAAUUCGAUGAAAUAUAAGACUUUUUUCUUACUGUAUAUAUCUAAUUCAAAAAAAUUGCAUACUUAAAUAUUGUUUAAAGAUUUGUAUUAAGAACUUUAGUGGCUCAUUAUUGCAAGUCUGAACUCAACUAGACUUUCAAGCCAGUUCUUUCAUAAACUAUGUGCCCUCUCAAGUGAAAUUUAUUUUUUAUAGUCUUCAUAGUUAAGUUUAUCUCUUCACUGUCCGUUGGACAUCAUGGUUGUGGUUUUUUUUUUUUUUUUUUACGAUUUUUAUUUAUUUACUUGAGAGAUUGAGACAGAGCUACAGAGCACGAGAGCAGGGAGGAGAGGGAGAAGCAGGGUCCCCACUGAGUAGGGAGCCCGAUGUGGGGCUGAUAUGGGGCUCGAUCCCACACUUAACGGAAUGAGCCACCCAGGCGCCCCCCUCAUGGUUGUUUUUGUCACGUUGCUAUGCGUGCUUACCUUCCAUCAGGUUUGCCUCUUUCUCUUCUCUUUACCAGUCUAAAUCUUAAUUACUCUUCAAGUCUAGCUCAGGGUCUCACCAAAUUUUCAUCCUCCAGUUUACACUCAUCUUUUUCUGUUACCCUUAUGGGUCAAAAAACAUAAAUGUCUUUUUAUGUAACUUUCAUGCAUGAUAAUUUUGUCUUAAUUAAAUUAUAAACUCCUUUUUUUUUUUUAAAGAUUUUAUUUAUUUAUUUGACAGAGAUAGAGACAGCCAGAGAGAGAGGGAACAAGCAGGGGGAGUGGGAGAGGAAGAAGCAGGCUCAGAGCGGAGGAGCCUGAUGUGGGGCUCGAUCCCAUAACGCCGGGAUCACGCCCUGAGCCGAAGGCAGACGCUCAACCGCUGUGCCACCCAGGUGCCCCUAAAUUAUAAACUCCUUAAUUCAGAGACCAUGUAUUGUACCUACUUGUAUCCUUUAUACUGUUUAGCAAAGAGCUGGAUUCAUAAUCCAACCUCAGUUAUCAUAACAGAUUGUAUAAUUGACAUACUAACUUCCUGAAAAGUCUAUCAUUAUUAUUUUUUUUCAAGAUUUAUUUAUUCAUUUGAGAGAAAGAGAGGCGGGGGAGGUAGGGACAAAGGAGAGAGAAUCCUCAGGCAGAUUACUCGCUGAGCGCAAAGCCUCCGUGGGCUUUUGGGGGCUUGAUCUUAGGACCAAGGUGCCCCCAAAAGUCUACCAUUAUUAAGACAGGUGAUCAGGUAGCAAUGUUCUUUAGAUAUAUUCUCAAGUAACAUAAUAGCAGUACUUAGCAAGUGUAAUUAUAAUUGGUGCUAACUUUUCUGAACCGUAGUGAGUGUUCAUUUGUAGUUUUAGAUCUGUUAAUUACUUAGGUCUCAGUAGUUAUAUUUUACUAAAGAUGUUAAAAAAAGGAAGCCUCUUUCAGAGUUUUUU